rnacentral:rRNA from 1 species
AUUGAACGCUGGCGGCAGGCCUAACACAUGCAAGUCGAACGAGUGGCGGACGGGUGAGUAAUGUCUGGGAAACUGCCCGAUGGAGGGGGCUAACUACUGGAAACGGUAGCUAAUACCGCAUACCAUCGGAUGUUCCCAGUUGGGAUUAGCUAGUAGGUGGGGUAACGGCUCACCUAGGCGACGAUCCCUAGCUGGUCUGAGAGGAUGACCGGCCACACUGGAACUGAGACACGGCCCAGACUCCUACGGGAGGCAGCAGUGGGGAAUAUUGCACAAUGGGCGCAAGCCUGAUGCAGCCAUGCCGCGUGUAUGAAGAAGGCCUUCGGGUUGUAAAGUACUUUCGGCGAGGAGGCGUUACUCGCAGAAGAAGCACCGGCUAACUCCGUGCCAGCAGCCGCGGUAAUUC